UACGCGAAGAACUUACCAGGUCUUGACAUCCUCUGACACUCCUAGAGAUAGGACGUUCCCCUUCGGGGGACAGAGUGACAGGUGGUGCAUGGUUGUCGUCAGCUCGUGUCGUGAGAUGUUGGGUUAAGUCCCGCAACGAGCGCAACCCUUGAUCUUAGUUGCCAGCAUUCAGUUGGGCACUCUAAGGUGACUGCCGGUGACAAACCGGAGGAAGGUGGGGAUGACGUCAAAUCAUCAUGCCCCUUAUGACCUGGGCUACACACGUGCUACAAUGGAUGGUACAAAGGGCUGCAAAACCGCGAGGUCGAGCCAAUCCCAUAAAACCAUUCUCAGUUCGGAUUGUAGGCUGCAACUCGCCUACAUGAAGCUGGAAUCGCUAGUAAUCGUGGAUCAGCAUGCCACGGUGAAUACGUUCCCGGGUCUUGUACACACCG
rnacentral:rRNA from 1 species